rnacentral:piRNA from 1 species
UGAACAGGAACUUCGAUGAUCAGCU